rnacentral:rRNA from 1 species
CAUGCAAGUCGAACGGUAACAGCACUUCGGUGGCUGACGAGUGGCGAACGGGUGAGUAAUACAUCGGAACGUGCCUAGUAGUGGGGGAUAACUACUCGAAAGAGUAGCUAAUACCGCAUGAGAUCUACGGAUGAAAGCAGGGGACCUUCGGGCCUUGUGCUACUAGAGCGGCUGAUGGCAGAUUAGGUAGUUGGUGGGGUAAAGGCUCACCAAGCCAACGAUCUGUAGCUGGUCUGAGAGGACGACCAGCCACACUGGAACUGAGACACGGUCCAGACUCCUACGGGAGGCAGCAGUGGGGAAUUUUGGACAAUGGGCGCAAGCCUGAUCCAGCAAUGCCGCGUGCAGGAUGAAGGCCUUCGGGUUGUAAACUGCUUUUGUACAGAACGAAAAGUCUUGGGUUAAUACCCUGGGACCAUGACGGUACUGUAAGAAUAAGCACCGGCUAACUACGUGCCAGCAGCCGCGGUAAUACGUAGGGUGCAAGCGUUAAUCGGAAUUACUGGGCGUAAAGCGUGCGCAGGCGGUUAUGUAAGACAGAGGUGAAAUCCCCGGGCUCAACCUGGGAACGGCCUUUGUGACUGCAUAGCUAGAGUACGGUAGAGGGGGAUGGAAUUCCGCGUGUAGCAGUGAAAUGCGUAGAUAUGCGGAGGAACACCGAUGGCGAAGGCAAUCCCCUGGACCUGUACUGACGCUCAUGCACGAAAGCGUGGGGAGCAAACAGGAUUAGAUACCCUGGUAGUCCACGCCCUAAACGAUGUCAACUGGUUGUUGGGUCUUAACUGACUCAGUAACGAAGCUAACGCGUGAAG